rnacentral:rRNA from 1 species
UACGAAGGGGGCUAGCGUUGUUCGGAUUUACUGGGCGUAAAGCGCACGUAGGCGGAUCGUUAAGUCAGGGGUGAAAUCCCGGAGCUCAACUCCGGAACUGCCUUUGAUACUGGCGAUCUUGAGGCUGGAAGAGGUUAGUGGAAUUCCCAGUGUAGAGGUGAAAUUCGUAGAUAUUGGGAAAGAACACCAGUGGCGAAGGCGGCUAACUGGUCCAGAUCUGACGCUGAGGUGCGAAAGCGUGGGGAGCAAACAGG